AACGAACGCUGGCGGCAUGCCUAACACAUGCAAGUCGAACGAGACCUUCGGGUCUAGUGGCGCACGGGUGCGUAACGCGUGGGAACCUGCCUUUAGGUUCGGAAUAACUCAGAGAAAUUUGAGCUAAUACCGGAUAAUGUCUUCGGACCAAAGAUUUAUCGCCUUUAGAUGGGCCCGCGUUGGAUUAGCUAGUUGGUGGGGUAAAGGCCUACCAAGGCGACGAUCCAUAGCUGGUCUGAGAGGAUGAUCAGCCACACUGGGACUGAGACACGGCCCAGACUCCUACGGGAGGCAGCAGUGGGGAAUAUUGGACAAUGGGCGAAAGCCUGAUCCAGCAAUGCCGCGUGAGUGAUGAAGGCCUAGGGUUGUAAGCUCUUUUACCCGAGAUGAUAAUGACAGUAUCGGGAGAAUAAGCUCCGGCUAACUCCGUGCCAGCAGCCGCGGUAAUGUGACUACUG
rnacentral:rRNA from 1 species